rnacentral:rRNA from 1 species
UACGUAGGGAGCAAGCGUUGUCCGGAAUUACUGGGUGUAAAGGGUGCGUAGGCGGGUUUGCAAGUCAGGCGUGAAAUACCGAGGCUCAACUUCGGGGCUGCGCUUGAAACUGCAGAUCUUGAGUGAGGUAGAGGUAGGCGGAAUUCCUAGUGUAGCGGUGAAAUGCGUAGAUAUUAGGAGGAACACCAGUGGCGAAGGCGGCCUACUGGGCUUUAACUGACGCUGAGGCACGAAAGCGUGGGGAGCAAAC